rnacentral:rRNA from 1 species
UACGUAGGGGGCUAGCGUUGUCCGGAAUCAUUGGGCGUAAAGCGCGCGUAGGUGGCUUCGUAAGUCCGUUGUGAAAGCAAAGGCUCAACCUUUGAAAGCCGAUGGAUACUGUGAAGCUAGAGUACGGAAGAGGCGAGUGGAAUUCCUGGUGUAGCGGUGAAAUGCGCAGAUAUCAGGAGGAACACCGGUGGCGAAGGCGGAUCUCUGGGCCUUGCCUGACGCUGGAGGCGCGGAAAGCUAGGGGAGCGAACAGG